rnacentral:rRNA from 1 species
AACGAACGCUGGCGGCAUGCCUAACACAUGCAAGUCGAACGAUUGCCUUCGGGUGAUAGUGGCGCACGGGUGCGUAACGCGUGGGAAUCUGCCCUUAGGUUCGGAAUAACAGCUGGAAACGGCUGCUAAUGCCGGAUGAUAUCGCGAGAUCAAAGAUUUAUCGCCUGAGGAUGAGCCCGCGUUGGAUUAGGUAGUUGGUGGGGUAAAGGCCUACCAAGCCGACGAUCCAUAGCUGGUCUGGGAGGAUGAUCAGCCACACUGGGACUGAGACACGGCCCAGACUCCUACGGGAGGCAGCAGUGGGGAAUAUUGGACAAUGGGCGCAAGCCUGAUCCAGCAAUGCCGCGUGAGUGAUGAAGGCCCUAGGGUUGUAAAGCUCUUUUACCCGGGAAGAUAAUGACUGUACCGGGAGAAUAAGCCCCGGCUAACUCCGUG